GCUGGACAAAGAAUCCGAUGCAGGUGUAUC
rnacentral:piRNA from 1 species